rnacentral:pre_miRNA from 1 species
CUUGUAGAACAAGGUGAAGGAGAUGAUUCUGCUCAGCACUCAGCAGUGGCCAUAUCUCCACUUGUAGUGACUUGACUGACAGCUUCUGUGUCCUUUUCGUGGG